AUUUCUGUGGUGCAAUGGACAGCACGUGGACUUCAAAUCCAAAGGUCGUGGGUUCGAAUACCACCUAGAAUG